ACAACGGAGAGUUUGAUCCUGGCUCAGGAUGAACGCUGGCGGCGUGCUUAACACAUGCAAGUCGAACGAACCUUCGGGUUAGUGGCGGACGGGUGAGUAACGCGUGAGAAUCUGCCCUCAGGAGGGGGAUAACGGCUGGAAACGGCCGCUAAUACCCCAUAUGCCGAGAGGUGAAAUGAAUUUCGCCUGAGGAUGAGCUCGCGUCUGAUUAGCUAGUUGGUGGGGUAAGAGCCUACCAAGGCGUCGAUCAGUAGCUGGUCUGAGAGGAUGAUCAGCACACUGGGACUGAGACACGGCCCAGACUCCUACGGGAGGCAGCAGUGGGGAAUUUUCCGCAAUGGGCGAAAGCCUGACGGAGCAACGCCGCGUGAGGGAUGAAGGCCUCUGGGCUGUAAACCUCUUUUCUCAAGGAAGAAGAUCUGACGGUACUUGAGGAAUAAGCCACGGCUAAUUCCGUGCCAGCAGCCGCGGUAAUACGGGAGUGGCAAGCGUUAUCCGGAAUUAUUGGGCGUAAAGCGUCCGCAGGCGGCCUCGUAAGUCUGUUGUCAAAGCGUGGAGCUUAACUCCAUUUCGGCAAUGGAAACUGUGAGGCUUGAGUGUGGUAGGGGCAGAGGGAAUUCCCGGUGUAGCGGUGAAAUGCGUAGAUAUCGGGAAGAACACCAGUGGCGAAGGCGCUCUGCUGGGCCAUAACUGACGCUCAUGGACGAAAGCCAGGGGAGCGAAAGGGAUUAGAUACCCCUGUAGUCCUGGCCGUAAACGAUGAACACUAGGUGUCGGGGGAAUCGACCCCCUCGGUGUCGUAGCCAACGCGUUAAGUGUUCCGCCUGGGGAGUACGCACGCAAGUGUGAAACUCAAAGGAAUUGACGGGGGCCCGCACAAGCGGUGGAGUAUGUGGUUUAAUUCGAUGCAACGCGAAGAACCUUACCAGGGUUUGACAUCCUGCGAACCCCUGAGAAAUCGGGGGGUGCCUUCGGGAGCGCAGUGACAGGUGGUGCAUGGCUGUCGUCAGCUCGUGUCGUGAGAUGUUGGGUUAAGUCCCGCAACGAGCGCAACCCACGUCUUUAGUUGCCAGCAUUCAGUUGGGCACUCUAGAGAGACCGCCGGUGAUAAACCGGAGGAAGGUGUGGAUGACGUCAAGUAUCAUGCCCCUUACAUCCUGGGCUACACACGUACUACAAUGCUACGGACAAAGGGCAGCAAACUCGCGAGAGCUAGCAAAUCCCAUAAACCGUGGCUCAGUUCAGAUCGUAGGCUGCAACUCGCUACGUGAAGGAGGAAUCGCUAGUAAUCGCAGGUCAGCAUACUGCGGUGAAUACGUUCCCGGGCCUUGUACACACCGCCCGUCACACCAUGGAAGUUGGCCACGCCCGAAGCCGUUACUCCAACCCUUGUGGAGGAGGACGUCGAAGGUGGGGCUGAUGACUGGGGUGAAGUCGUAACAAGGUAGCCGUACCGGAAGGUGCGGCUGGAUCACCUCCUAA
rfam:Synechococcus sp. GFB01 Contig88, whole genome shotgun sequence.